AUAUUCUCCGAAGCGGGAAGGAUGAGAAGCUUCGACCAAGGUUCGAUUCGAGCGAAGCGAGAAAGCGUUGCCGCAGGCAACGACCCGAAGGGCGAGGCGCAGCGCGCCGAGUAAUCCUUCCCCCACCACCA
rnacentral:sRNA from 1 species